rfam:Saccharomyces cerevisiae Vin13 chromosome XVI, whole genome shotgun sequence.
UAUUAUGAUGAUUUUUUUUAUAUUCACACUGUACUAGAUUGGUCUCUUUAACGAAGGGGCUAAUUGAUGACUACAAAAUAAAAAAUAACUGAUUUAAUGACUCUGAAA